UUCUAAUCUUGCUUUAGAUUGAGUCCAAACACACACGACUCUUCCUUAUAAACCCUAGGGACUCCCUCAACUCUGCUCUCUCUCGAUCGACCACGACAACACAAAAUCUCCCUCCAGUGGCCCCACUGCUUCUUUUUUCCUCCAAAUCUGCCGCCGCGGAGUAUCUGAUCGUCAGUUUCCGGCGGCGGAGGCGGACGGAGGCGGCGGCGGCGGAGCAGUUAUCGUUACCGGUGGCUUCCCGGUGAGCGGUGAAACUUGAAGAAGUCUUUGAUUAUGAAAAAAGCACAAGAAAGCAACAAGACCGAGCACACCUUCAUCCCAAUUCUGUGAGGUUUCUUUCAUCUUGUUUGAAGAUUGUCUCUUCCGUCGCCGGCUAUAUCUCCGGCGCUCCCGACGACCACCACAACUCUACUUCUGAUUGGAAGACUGGAAGAUACAAGGAAAUUAUCAAAUCUGGAAGUGUAAGUAGGAAUUUAUUUAUUCUUCAUUUACGAUUACUUGUUAGUUCAUCUAUGUGGGUGAUUAUUCUGGAUGAAUGAUUUCCAAGAAAAUGGAUUUGUGUUGUUAAUGGGCAAGUGGAGCCCAGACCUGGAGUUUUGAGAUUGAUGGAUGAGGCAAGGCUGCUGUAAGAUAGACAUUUUACCUUAUAAAUGCAAUCGUCACUUUGUCAUGGCUCUUAAGUUUUUCAUUGUAUUUGCAUCUGUUUUCCACAGUUAAUUCGGUAAGACUACUUUUCUUUCCAAAGUUUGGUCAAAUUCCACCUUCCCUUUCUUACGUGAAGAAUCAUAUUUGAAUUAACCUUUUUGGCUGACGACUAUAGGGUAAAAAAUUAGCAGUCUGCUCUGCUGCAACUAAAAAAGUUCUUUUUCAGUCCUUACCUUUUUGGUUUUUUUUUUUAUUCUAUCAAAUUUAAAUUUGAUGAAAAAUUGCUCAAAAUCCAUCUCCAACCUUUUCAUAAAAUGCUUAUCAAAUCAAGGGAAAAACACUUUUUUCAUCACAUUGAGUGAAGCAUUUCGAAUAUUCUCCAUAUUGAGUGAAGCAUUACCAAAUUUCAUCGACAACAUGAGCACUAGGCAAGCGAAGUUCUCCUGAACCAGGUGCUUUGGCUUAUGCUCCCAUUUAGGUAUUAUUCUCCUGAACCAGGUGCUAGUGGCAGAAAUAAGGUCAAGAGACAUGUGCAUAUAUUUAGUUCUUAUAAGAAGGUAAAGCUCUUACAACAAGUAAAUAAACAUGUAUCAAUGUAGGCUGAUGUACACCAUAACUGAUGACAAUGCUAAAUUUGGUAGGUUUAUGAUUUGUUUGACUAGAGUGUUUACAUAUGUUUCAAUGUACAGUAUUUUAUUUGAGUUUUUUUAUUUUCUAAAAUGUUUAGUUCAUAUAAGAAGGUAAAGUUCUUGUAAGUGAAUAAACAUGUAUCAAGGUAGGCUGAUGUACACCAUAAAUUGAGUAUUUACAUAUAUUUCAAAUGUGACUUGUGACUUGAGCUUUUAAUUUUCUGAAAGUCGAGCGCUCAGGCAUCAUUAGUUCUAGGUGCUUUAACUUUCUAAUAAUUUAAUCUCAUUAUGCGAGUGUAUAAUCUCGGUGUCUAUUUUUAUAGGCAUGUAGGUUAGUGUCAUUGCUUUUUUAAUUUCGGGCAGCGAUAUGACCCUUCAUAGUUCAUGGGGAUGCUCUGAACUUAUAGAUUCUUUAGCUAAGGUUAUUUGUGGUUCUCGUUUUUUCUGCUCCUUUUUUAUUUCAGUAAUUUGUGUUUGUCAUGUGUUCUGGUUUUUGAAACUAACUUCUGCAGCUUGUUGGGUUGUGCACUGCUAUCUGUUACAUGGCAAUUUGGGUUGGAUACACAGACGUGCACUUAAUCUUUGGUGUUUCUAAGACUUUAGAGCAUGUGCAGCUCAGCAGGGAGAGCUGAAUAAUCAGUUGAAGCAGUAGCUCUGGAAGAUCUAGGAGAAACAAAAUUCCAAGAAGGAAAUUGAAUAGCUUGACUUGAAAUCUUGUUUUUACAAGCGUCAGUUUGCCAAGAGCAUUCACUAGCAUACCUAAUAAACCAGAGAGGAGGUAAUAAUUGUAGCACAACACUCUGAAAAUGGCAAACAUAACUGGGUCUUAUGUCAAAGUUACAAGUAACUUCUGAAUUGAAAUCUCAUCCCCACUGUGAUUCAUUCCUUCCUCUUAUGAUUUAUUCCUUCAUAU